GGUUCUACUGUCUCCUUUCUCUAAUCAGUGAAACUAAUCUCCCCGUGAAGAAGCGGGGAUAACACUAUAAGACGAGAAGACCCCAUGGAGCUUUAAACCCAAUUAUAUUCCUAGCCACUAUAACCAUUCAAUCUCUUAGGCCCUAUAUACUUGGUUUUAGGUUGGGGCGACCACGGAGUAAAACCAAACCUCCAUGAUGUACGGAACAACCUCCUCAUCUAAGAGCUACAGCUCUAAGAAUUAGCACACUAUCAUAAAAUGACCCAUUAUUGAUCAACGAACCAAGUUACCCUGGGGAUAACAGCGCAAUCCAUUUUAAGAGCCCCUAUCGACAAAUGGG
rnacentral:rRNA from 1 species